rnacentral:tRNA from 1 species
AGUGGCUCAGUGGUAGAGUGCUUGCCUCGCAUGCAUGAAGCCCUGGGUUCGAGUCUCAGCACUA